rnacentral:tRNA from 1 species
ACUCGCUUGGUGAAAUUGGUAUACACUACAGACUUAAAAUUUGUUCCUUCGGGUUAUCGGUUCGAGUCCGAUAGCGAGUA